GACCAAUCUCAGGCGAAAAUUUGCUCCAUGGUCUCCAGGCUGCCUUAGCAGCUUGAAUCAAAUCUCGCGCAAGGCAGCAUGGGAACACCCAGGCUAGUGGCUAACUUGGGACCAAGCACUGAUCUAUGCUGACAACUGUGAGGGGGGUGAUUUUUUUUUUUUUUUUUUUUUUUCUAACUCAUUAGUUUAGAUCACAUUUAGAUAUAAAAUAGAUGAAUAAUUAAGGGCGUGGUCGGCUUGAUUGACGACUGACGUCGAGGCAUACAGCAGCAGACGUUGCCAGCUGAGUGGAAAGUGGAAACCCUGAAACUUUGACGUCUCAGCCAUGAUUAUACACAAAGUUACCACAUCCUUUCUGAACAUCUUUAUUCAAAAAGCUGACAUAAAAUGGUUUGCUAAGCUAUUAAUUGAAGCCUACUAACCGACACUUUCAGAAGACUUCGUUCCAGUUUUUUCAGUUUCCCUGUAGGUAAUCCAGACAGGCUGGGUGCUGGAGAGGGCUCUGGACUCCUAACUUCAAUUCUCGUCUGUGCAGUCAACACUCGGAAGCAUCACUUCAGCACUGAUUCCAUGAUCUGGAACAUUUUGAAAUCCUACCAGAUGGGGCAGAAGUCAUUGAGCAGUGGCAGCUUCUGAUUUCAAGGACUUUGUUCACCUUUAUUUACAGCAUUUGCAUCUGUGUCUUUAAAGUGAUCUAAUAUGUAUUGACUAUGAACUAGCUUAGUACAUAUUAGUUUUUGUUAUUUUAGUUUCACAAAUUCAGUGGUUACCUGUAAUGCUCAAGAUAUACAAGUAAAAAAUCACCUUUACUUCUGCAUCUGGGUCUUCAAUUCAACCUACUGACUGAAGCUGACUGAUUUGAAUAAUUGUUUUUGAAAGCACAGGCAAAUUGGUUUGGCAUGAGUUUUAAUGUAAUUCAGUUCAGAAAAGUUCCAUAAACAUUUCCAAGUGCAAGUUCAGUGCCAUCAACAGUAAGUUUGCUUUCUGAUAUUUAAAGAACAGAAAUGGGUUUGGCAUAAGUAAAGGGCAG